rnacentral:tRNA from 1 species
GCGGGUAUGGUUUAGUGGCAGAAUGAGACCUUCCCAAGGUUUAGACACGGGUUCGAUUCCCGUUACCCGCU